GAGUUUGAUCCUGGCUCAGGACGAACGCUGGCGGCGUGCUUAACACAUGCAAGUCGAGCGAGGCCUUUCCUUCGGGAGAGUGUCCUAGCGGCGAACGGGUGAGUAACACGUGGGCAACCUGCCCUCAGCUCUGGGAUAACUCCAAGAAAUUGGGGCUAAUACCGGAUAUGACCGCUGACCGCAUGGUCUGGUGGUGGAAAGAUUUAUCGGCUGGGGAUGGGCCCGCGGCCUAUCAGCUUGUUGGUGGGGUAGUGGCCUACCAAGGCGACGACGGGUAGCCGGCCUGAGAGGGUGACCGGCCACACUGGGACUGAGACACGGCCCAGACUCCUACGGGAGGCAGCAGUGGGGAAUAUUGCGCAAUGGGCGAAAGCCUGACGCAGCGACGCCGCGUGGGGGAUGACGGCCUUCGGGUUGUAAACCUCUUUCAGCAGGGACGAAGCGAAAGUGACGGUACCUGCAGAAGAAGCACCGGCCAACUACGUGCCAGCAGCCGCGGUAAUACGUAGGGUGCAAGCGUUGUCCGGAAUUAUUGGGCGUAAAGAGCUCGUAGGCGGUUUGUUGCGUCGGCUGUGAAAUCCCGAGGCUCAACCUCGGGUCUGCAGUCGAUACGAGCAAACUAGAGUGUUGCAGGGGAGACUGGAAUUCCUGGUGUAGCGGUGAAAUGCGCAGAUAUCAGGAGGAACACCGGUGGCGAAGGCGGGUCUCUGGGCAACAACUGACGCUGAGGAGCGAAAGCGUGGGGAGCGAACAGGAUUAGAUACCCUGGUAGUCCACGCCGUAAACGUUGGGCGCUAGGUGUGGGGCUCAUUCCACGAGUUCCGUGCCGCAGCUAACGCAUUAAGCGCCCCGCCUGGGGAGUACGGCCGCAAGGCUAAAACUCAAAGGAAUUGACGGGGGCCCGCACAAGCGGCGGAGCAUGUUGCUUAAUUCGAUGCAACGCGAAGAACCUUACUUAGGCUUGACAUGCACGGAAAUCCUCCAGAGAUGGUGGGUCCGUAAGGGCCGUGCACAGGUGGUGCAUGGUUGUCGUCAGCUCGUGUCGUGAGAUGUUGGGUUAAGUCCCGCAACGAGCGCAACCCUCGUUCUAUGUUGCCAGCGGAUAAUGCCGGGGACUCAUAGGAGACUGCCGGGGUCAACUCGGAGGAAGGUGGGGAUGACGUCAAAUCAUCAUGCCCCUUAUGUCUAGGGCUGCAAACAUGCUACAAUGGCCGGUACAAAGGGCUGCGAUACCGCGAGGUGGAGCGAAUCCCAAAAAGCCGGUCUCAGUUCGGAUUGGGGUCUGCAACUCGACCCCAUGAAGUUGGAGUCGCUAGUAACCGCAGAUCAGCAACGCUGCGGUGAAUACGUUCCCGGGCCUUGUACACACCGCCCGUCACGUCACGAAAGUCGGUAACGCCCGAAGCCGGUGGCCCAACCCUUGUGGAGGGAGCCGUCGAAGGCGGGAUCGGCGAUUGGGACGAAGUCGUAACAAGGUAGCCGUACCGGAAGGUGCGGCUGGAUCACCUCCUUUCGAGUUUGAUCCUGGCUCAGGACGAACGCUGGCGGCGUGCUUAACACAUGCAAGUCGAACGGUGACCCUCGGAGCUUGCUCUGAGGUGGUCAGUGGCGAACGGGUGAGUAACACGUGAGUAACCUGCCCCAGACUCUGGAAUAACCCCGGGAAACCGGAGCUAAUACCGGAUACGAGACGGAGCCGCAUGGCUACCGUCUGGAAAGUUUUUCGGUCUGGGAUGGACUCGCGGCCUAUCAGCUUGUUGGUGAGGUAGUGGCUCACCAAGGCGACGACGGGUAGCCGGCCUGAGAGGGCGACCGGCCACACUGGGACUGAGACACGGCCCAGACUCCUACGGGAGGCAGCAGUGGGGAAUAUUGCACAAUGGGCGAAAGCCUGAUGCAGCGACGCCGCGUGAGGGAUGACGGCCUUCGGGUUGUAAACCUCUUUCAGCAGGGAAGAAGCGAAAGUGACGGUACCUGCAGAAGAAGCACCGGCUAACUACGUGCCAGCAGCCGCGGUAAUACGUAGGGUGCGAGCGUUGUCCGGAAUUAUUGGGCGUAAAGAGCUUGUAGGCGGUUUGUCGCGUCUGCUGUGAAAUUUCGGGGCUCAACCCCGAACUUGCAGUGGGUACGGGCAGACUAGAGUGUGGUAGGGGAGACUGGAAUUCCUGGUGUAGCGGUGAAAUGCGCAGAUAUCAGGAGGAACACCGAUGGCGAAGGCAGGUCCCUGGGCCACUACUGACGCUGAGAAGCGAAAGCAUGGGGAGCGAACAGGAUUAGAUACCCUGGUAGUCCAUGCCGUAAACGUUGGGAACUAGGUGUGGGUCUCAUUCCACGAGAUCCGUGCCGCAGCUAACGCAUUAAGUUCCCCGCCUGGGGAGUACGGCCGCAAGGCUAAAACUCAAAGGAAUUGACGGGGGCCCGCACAAGCGGCGGAGCAUGCGGAUUAAUUCGAUGCAACGCGAAGAACCUUACCAAGGCUUGACAUAUACCGGAAACAUCUGGAGACAGGUGCCCCGCAAGGUCGGUAUACAGGUGGUGCAUGGUUGUCGUCAGCUCGUGUCGUGAGAUGUUGGGUUAAGUCCCGCAACGAGCGCAACCCUCGUUCUAUGUUGCCAGCGCGUAAUGGCGGGGACUCAUAGGAGACUGCCGGGGUCAACUCGGAGGAAGGUAGGGAUGACGUCAAAUCAUCAUGCCCCUUAUGUCUUGGGCUUCACGCAUGCUACAAUGGCCGGUACAAAGGGCUGCGAAACCGCAAGGUGGAGCGAAUCCCAAAAAACCGGUCUCAGUUCGGAUUGGGGUCUGCAACUCGACCCCAUGAAGUCGGAGUCGCUAGUAAUCGCAGAUCAGCAACGCUGCGGUGAAUACGUUCCCGGGCCUUGUACACACCGCCCGUCAAGUCACGAAAGUCGGUAACACCCGAAGCCGGUGGCCCAACUCUUUGAGAGGGAGCCGUCGAAGGUGGGACUGGCGAUUGGGACUAAGUCGUAACAAGGUAGCCGUACCGGAAGGUGCGGCUGGAUCACCUCCUUUCU
rnacentral:rRNA from 1 species